rnacentral:rRNA from 1 species
CGUUAGCGGCGGACGGGUGAGUAACACGUGGGUAACCUACCUAUAAGACUGGGAUAACUUCGGGAAACCGGAGCUAAUACCGGAUAAUAUUUCGAACCGCAUGGUUCGAUAGUGAAAGAUGGUUUUGCUAUCACUUAUAGAUGGACCUGCGCCGUAUUAGCUAGUUGGUAAGGUAACAGCUUACCAAGGCGACGAUACGUAGCCGACCUGAGAGGGUGAUCGGCCACACUGGAACUGAGACACGGUCCAGACUCCUACGGGAGGCAGCAGUA